rnacentral:rRNA from 1 species
UACGGAGGAUGCGAGCGUUAUCCGGAUUUAUUAGGUUUAAAGGGUGCGCAGGCGGCACGGCAAGCCGGCGGUCAAAUCGCGGGGCUCAACCCCGCCCAGCCGUCGGAACUGCCGGGCUAGAGUGGGCGAGAAGUGCGCGGAAUGCGUGGUGUAGCGGUGAAAUGCAUAGAUAUCACGCAGAACUCCGAUUGCGAAGACAGCGCACCGGCGCCCUACUGACGCUCAGGCACGAAAGCGUGGGUAUCGAACAGG